rnacentral:rRNA from 1 species
GUCGUGAGAUGUGGGUUAAGUCCCGCAACGAGCGCAACCCUUGUGAACAGUUGCCAGCGGGUAAUGCCGGGAACUCUGUUCAGACUGCCCAGAUCAACUGGGAGGAAGGUGGGGACGACGUCAGGUCAGUACUGGCCCUUACGCCUUGGGCUGCACACGUACUACAAUGCCCGGCACAAUGAGAACCGAAACCGCGAGGUUGAGGAAAUCUGGAAAACCGGGCCCAGUUCGGAUUGGAGGCUGCAACCCGCCUCCAUGAAGUUGGAAUCGCUAGUAAUGGCACAUCAGCUACGGUGCCGUGAAUACGUUCCCGGGUCUU